rnacentral:pre_miRNA from 1 species
CUCAUUGCAUGAACUGUGUAUAUUUUUAUUCGAUACCCAGAGCAUGCAGUGUGAA